rnacentral:lncRNA from 1 species
CAAUAACUCAUCCACUAGCACCAUCGAAAGAUGAGGCCAGGAUUCAAAUUCCUGGCUACAAGGAUGUAGCUUCAAUGUGGGGCAUUAAGAAAGUUUAUUUAAAGCUACUGUGGAUACCUCACAUGUUAAGCUACCCACUUAAAUAAACAAUGUUAUUUUCAGAGAUGUACCUUUCAACUGUUUCAGUUCCCUCUCAGCCAGCUGUCUACAUCUGCGCUCAUAUUUCAGCUCUGCUUGAAGCUGGUCAAUCUUCAUCAGGAGACUUAUGGUGUCGGUUCUCAUUCCAGGACUUUGAUCAUCUUCCACCUCAAAGGAAUUGGAGUAACAAACGCAGUCUAAAGAUUUUAGGUUCCUGAAAACAUAUUCAAAUUAGGCUGGUCUACACAAGGUGAACUCAAUUCAAGAGGAGGAGAUUCCGGCAGUUCCAACAGAGUGACUCAGAGACUUUGUUCCACAAAAUGGGACAGAAUGAAUGUAAUAUAAUGGGUCCUUGACCUAUACAUUACAUAAAAGUUCUUAUUAUGAAUGUCACUAUUCUCUUUAUGGCAAUGUGUCCUGAAUAGUUACAUAAAUGUUUAAAAAUGUAAUAUACCCCUUUGUAUGUUAUGCCAUUUUCUACAAACUGGCUAUUCUAAUGAGCUCAGCCCUGAAAAAAGACUACAUUUGAUUGGUCCAGAAUUAUUGUGUAUCACAGACAUUUCUCUGCUUCACCAUGUUGGACAUUACAGCAGAGUAAAAAGUAUUUUUGGAGAUGCAAAUUUGGACUGUAUGUGAAACAUACAUUUGGCAAAUUAUAAUAUAUGUUUUAAUGUAUUUGGUACACAUACAAUUGUUUGGAAAUUAUAAUUUGGCCAAUCUUUAUAUUUUACAUGUUCUUUCAAAUUAUUACACCAUUGAUAAAGAUGAGCAAAAAGGAUUGUAUGAAAAUAAAAAUAAAUGGUAAUGUAUUGUACAUGUGGAAUGUUAUACUUUAAUAUUUCAUGGGACUACAACAAAACUGCACAUCAUAAAGUAUCCAUUUCCCCCCAAAGAAGUAUUUCAAAAGUAUAGGCACCCUUGCUAUCAGUGGUCAGCACACCCUACCGACAGAGCAUUUUUGUAUACUUUUAUGACAUUGAAGAAGAUAUUGAAACUGACUACCCCAUACACAUUCUAUGCAGAUCCCUUUUAUUAUUAUUAGAAGCACUAUAAUUAUUGUUAUUACAGUGCUUAUAAUAAUAAUAGUCAUCACCAUCUUAAUAUUGAGUUUGUAGAGAAUAUGCGCACAAAAGUAAUGCUCAAAUGCCCUCAUUUUCAAAUGGAUUCAUGUUCAAAUUUUUGAAUUUUGAUAUGUGCUUGGGGUCACUGUCUAUUUGGCCGACCAACUUGCCAACCAUGUUUCUGCCUUUGUAAUAGUCAACCAGGUUUUUGGCUAAAAUGUUCUGGUACUAGUUAAUGCGUGAGUCUUACCCAGCUACACAGCUUCAGUCUGUCUUUAUUCUGGUGUUUAUUAUGCUAUAUUAUGUACAUUACCACAUACACUGUUGUGUUGUCUUUUGGUUUCUGUUUGGUCCCCAAGAGUAGCAGUAACUGCCUAGGCAGGUGCUUAAAUGUUCCUGUACUAGGUCAUGAAUUGGUUAGACAUAAAAGGGGACACAGGACCAGUGGAUCCAAAAUAACCCUUUACCAAAGACCCACCCAUCACCAUAUUUUAUAGUAGGUAUGAGGUCACUUUUGGUUUAGGCAUCUGUCUUUCAACAUCUAACCUAAAGCUGGGUUUCAGAGACCAUUUUUUGUUUAAUCUGACCAUGGCACCCAGUUCAAUUGAAGUGCCAAGGUCAUUUAGUGAAUUCUAGAUGCAUACAUUUGUUGGUUGCUCUCAAUAAACACUUCAGAAAAUACAUUACUGUAUACAUUACUAUUGGAGAUAGCAACUAAUUCAAGAUUUGGACAUUUGAUGGCCCCAAGAUGCAACCAAGUUCUGUAACUCUGACGGUAGUCCUUGGAUUCUUUCUUACUGUGUGUGGAGGAAAGAUACUUACAUCUUGUCGCAGUGCUUCUCAACCCUACUCCAGGACACCCCCCUCCCCUGCAUGUUUUAGAUCUCUCCCUGCCCUAACAUACCUGAUAUAGUUCAUGAAGGACUUGAUAAUGAGCUGACCAUUUGAAUCAGGUGUGACAGAGCAGGGAGAGAUCUAAAAUAUGCAGAGCAGGGGUGCGCCCAUGAGCAGGGUUGAGAAGCACUGACCUAGUGAGUAAGUUUACUAGAUUUCCACUACAUUCAGUAAAGUUCUGAAAUUAGAUUUUGUUAUACUUCAGCGUAGCUUUUGACAUCAUGGAUCAUAGCCUACUGUUGAAAAAAACCAUCCUGUAGGUGUUGUGGAGAUGACAUCAUCCGCCAUGUCAUGGACUGAGAGUUGUAAUAGAACAUUGAGGAUCCUUAUUGGAGUCCUCUCUGUUGACAAUCCCACUGAAUGUUGAGUUGAGCCAUCUGGGACUUUCACUAUUGUCUGUUUAUACAAUGAGCUUUUGACCUUGAAUAGAGCUUGUCAUUGUACAUAAUGUACACUGGUGAUUCAGCAUCACACAAGUCAAGUGCAAAGUAAAAUAAAAACCUCUCAACACUAAAUAAAUAAACAAGGGUUUUUGCACGAUUAACAAUUCAUUUCAUAUAUGUUGAUCAAUAAACCACCAUAUUCAGAAAUGUAACUUAAAAAGAUCAGAGAAGAUUUGGUUUCUGAAGUCCAGUAUUUAACCCAGCUUUACAGCUUCAGCCUCACCCAGCUACAAGCUUGAGUCUUACCAAGCUAAACAGCUUCAAGUCUUACCCAGCUACAAAGCUUCAGUCUUACCCUGCUACACAGCUUCAGUCUUACCCAGCUAUACCGUUCAGCCUUAUCCAGCUUUAGUACAACAACAUUAAGAACACUGAGUGCCAAUUUGAGACAGUGAAAAGCUACAGAGAUACAUACAUUGUUAUACAUUACGUUGUUUAUUAUGCUUUAUUAUAUUGAGUCAUUAUGUACAUUACCACAUACAGUAUUGUGCUGUCUAUUGGUUUCUGUUUGGUCCCCAAGAGGAGCAGUAACUGCCUAGAAUGGGGCUAAUAAAUACAACAUACAUGUAGAGUACAACACUGUUAGGUAAGAACAUUAACCAAACUGUACCUUAGCUCAUGUUAUUUUGUGGUGGUGUGAACUUAAAAGUUAAUAUACAUGCUAUUAAAAGGAUUAAUACACCUUUAAAUAUCUGGCAAAUGUGAAGAUCUUACCUUUAAUACCUCCCACACACAACAUUAACACUUAACUAUUAGGGCUAUUUAACUUUUUGUUGAAUGUAACUAUUUAGGUCACUAACUAUUGUUUAGUUCCAGAGAAAGAACAUCUUAACCCUACAGCAUACCUUCAUAUUCAAAAUUUUUCUGUGUUUCCAGCACUUUGGGGAAGGCCCUUGCCUGUUUCAGCGUGACAAUGCCUACAUGCACAAAGCAAGGUACAUAUAGUAAACGGUUUGUCAAGAUUGGCGUGGAAGAACUUGACUAGCCUGCACAGAGGCUUGACCUCAACCUCAUCGAAGUGCUUUGGGAAGAAUUGGAACGGUGACUGCCAGCCAGGCCUAAACACCCAAAAUCAGUGCCCAACCUUGCUAAUGCUCUUGUGACUGAAUGGAAAGUUAGGUAGGUCAUGUUAUUUUUUCUACACUUUACAUUUGGAAUAAUGUCCAAGAUAAUUUAAAAUUGAAUAAACGGGCACCUCUUGGGCAAUUCAAAAGGACGAGAGAGCAAUAUUUCUAUGAAGAAUGUAUUUGGUG